UACAGAGGGUGCGAGCGUUAAUCGGACUUACUGGGCGUAAAGCGCAUGUAGGUGGGAAAGUAAGUUUGAUGUGAAAUCCCUGGGCUUAACCUGGGAAUGGCGUUGAAAACUAUUUGUCUUGAGUCGGACAGAGGGCAGUGGAAUUUCCGGUGUAGCGGUGAAAUGCGUAGAGAUCGGAAAGAACACCAGUGGCGAAGGCGGCUGCCUGGGUCCAGACUGACACUGAGGUGCGAAAGCGUGGGGAGCAAACAGG
rnacentral:rRNA from 1 species